rnacentral:rRNA from 1 species
UACGAAGGGGGCAAGCGUUGCCCGGAAUCACUGGGCGUAAAGAGCGUGUAGGCGGCUCGGUAAGUCCGGUCUGAAAGCCCGGGGCUCAACCCCGGGAGGCGGGCGGAUACUGUCGGGCUAGAGUCCGGAAGAGGCGAGUGGAAUUCCUGGUGUAGCGGUGAAAUGCGCAGAUAUCAGGAGGAACACCAAUGGCGAAGGCAGCUCGCUGGGACGGUACUGACGCUGAGACGCGAAAGCGUGGGGAGCAAACAGG